UACGGGGGGAGCAAGCGUUGUUCGGAUUUACUGGGCGUAAAGGGCGCGUAGGCGGCCACCGCAAGUCGACUGUGAAAUCUCUGGGCUUAACCCAGAACGGUCAGCCGAUACUGCGGGGCUAGAGUGCAGAAGGGGCAACUGGAAUUCUCGGUGUAGCGGUGAAAUGCGUAGAUAUCGAGAGGAACACCUGCGGCGAAGGCGGGUUGCUGGGCUGACACUGACGCUGAGGCGCGAAAGCCAGGGGAGCAAACGGG
rnacentral:rRNA from 1 species